UACGGGGGGGGCAAGCGUUGUUCGGAUUUACUGGGCGUAAAGGGCUUGUAGGUGGCCGAUUAAGUCAGACGUGAAAUCCCUCGGCUUAACCGGGGAACUGCGUCUGAUACUGGAUGGCUUGAGUGUGGGAGAGGGAUGUGGAAUUCCUGGUGUAGCGGUGAAAUGCGCAGAUAUCAGGAGGAACACCAGCGGCGAAGGCGGCGCUCUGGGCCGGUACUGACGCUGAGGAGCGAAAGCGUGGGGAGCAAACAGG
rnacentral:rRNA from 1 species